rnacentral:tRNA from 2 species
GCGCAGGUGGCGAAAUUGGUAGACGCACUACCUUGAGGUGGUAGCGCCCGCAAGGGCUUGCUGGUUCGAGUCCAGUCCUGCGCA